UACGAAGGGGGCUAGCGUUGCUCGGAAUCACUGGGCGUAAAGGGUGCGUAGGCGGGUCUUUAAGUCAGAGGUGAAAUCCUGGAGCUCAACUCCAGAACUGCCUUUGAUACUGAAGAUCUUGAGUUCGGGAGAGGUGAGUGGAACUGCGAGUGUAGAGGUGAAAUUCGUAGAUAUUCGGAAGAACACCAGUGGCGAAGGCGACUCACUGGACACAUAUUGACGCUGAGGUGCGAAAGCGUGGGGAGCAAACAGG
rnacentral:rRNA from 1 species